AGGACGAACGCUGGCGGCGUGCUUAACACAUGCAAGUCGAGCGGAAAGGCCCUUCGGGGUACUCGAGCGGCGAACGGGUGAGUAACACGUGAGUAAUCUGCCCUUGACUCUGGGAUAGCUCCGGGAAACCGGGAUUAAUACCGGAUAUGACUGCCUUAGACAUCUUUGGUGGUGGAAAGUUUUCGGUCAGGGAUGAGCUCGCGGCCUAUCAGCUUGUUGGUGGGGUAAUGGCCUACCAAGGCGACGACGGGUAGCCGGCCUGAGAGGGCGACCGGCCACACUGGGACUGAGACACGGCCCAGACUCCUACGGGAGGCAGCAGUGGGGAAUAUUGCGCAAUGGGGGAAACCCUGACGCAGCGACGCCGCGUGCGGGAUGAAGGCCUUCGGGUUGUAAACCGCUUUCAGCAGGGACGAAGCGAGAGUGACGGUACCUGCAGAAGAAGCGCCGGCUAACUACGUGCCAGCAGCCGC
rnacentral:rRNA from 1 species